rnacentral:rRNA from 1 species
AUGGAUGCGCUCGAGGCGGAUUUCCACAACCGCGCGUUGCUGGCCUCAGUGCAAGGAUGGCGGCCUGCGGUGUCGCCGGAGGCGCUGGUGCAAGCCCUGGGGCGCGAGUGCGGGGUCGAGAGGAGGUUCAUCCGGGUGGAGGUGACGCACCCAGCAGAUUUUUUCAUCUGUUUUGCUUCUACGGAGGAUUGCGACCGGGUCUUCAGCCAGACCGACCGGAUCCGGUGUGCGGGGCCGCCAAUCGCGUUCCAGCGCUGGCACCGGUGCGCCCAAGCAUCCAGUGGUAAGCUCGAGUUCUCCUGCAAGCUGGGAAUAGAGGGACUGCCAGCGAGUGGCUCGGAGUGGGAGACGUUGAGCCAGCUCGUCAACAAGCUUCAAGGCCAACUGGUGGAGGUGCUACCGCAAGAAGAUCGCUGGCAGGUUGAUGUCACUUUUUGGAUGCACAAUCCAUCCGGCAUUCCGAAGGUGUAUGAUCUGGAGAUCCCCGAGCCGGUGGGUUUGCCCAAUGUGGUGGACGAGGACUGGCCAUUUGCGCCUCCGCCGCCGGCGCCACCUACUGAGCGCCGCACUCUGAUUCAUCCACUUACCAUUCAUGUGCUGGAUGUGGUGGACCGCACGGUGCCGUUCAUGGCGCUUCGCCCGAACUACGAGCCGGAGGACGAUGAAGACCUCACAAGAAGACAUGAUUACUCCAGAAGCUGUUUCAGAGGACAGAUCAACGGCGAGGGCCGGGGCAAUGCCAUUCGCUCGGGUGGUCACCCCUUUGGUGGCCCGGGCGGCCUCGGCAUAGCUGGGGAUUGGGGCAGCCGGCGGGUGAACGGCCUCCUCGCUCCAGCUGGAGGAAUGGAGCUUGGCUCCCCGUUGCGGGAGAGCCCCUCCAUGGGGUCGAGCCUGGUCAGGCCCGCGGCCAGCUCUGUCGACCCGCGCUCCUCUGGGUCUUCUUCGGCGGCUUCCACGGCGGUCGGCACGGCGGCGUGGGUGGACACCCCUUGCGGACGCUCUCUGGCGGCGUCCACGGCGGUGGGAUCUGCGGCGCUGGGGUGA